UACGUAGGGGGCUAGCGUUGUCCGGAAUCAUUGGGCGUAAAGCGCGUGUAGGCGGCCCGGUAAGUCCGCUGUGAAAGUCGGGGGCUCAACCCUCGAAUGCCGGUGGAUACUGUCGGGCUCGAGUGCGGAAGAGGCGAGUGGAAUUCCUGGUGUAGCGGUGAAAUGCGCAGAUAUCAGGAAGAACACCCGUGGCGAAGGCGGCUCUCUGGGACGGUACUGACGCUGAGACGCGAAAGCGUGGGGAGCGAACAGG
rnacentral:rRNA from 1 species